rnacentral:tRNA from 1 species
GGGCGAGUGGCGAAAUUGGUAGACGCGCAGUGUUCAGAACGCUGUGGGUAUUACACUCUUGGAGGUUCAAAUCCUCUCUCGCCCA